UAAGGAAUAUUGGUCAAUGGGCGGAAGCCUGAACCAGCCAUGCCGCGUGCAGGAUGACUGCCCUAUGGGUUGUAAACUGCUUUUGUCCAGGAAUAAACCUUUCUACGUGUAGGAAGCUGAAUGUACUGGAAGAAUAAGGAUCGGCUAACUCCGUGCCAGCAGCCGCGGUAAUACGGAGGAUCCGAGCGUUAUCCGGAUUUAUUGGGUUUAAAGGGUGCGUAGGCGGCCUAUUAAGUCAGGGGUGAAAUACGGUGGCUCAACCAUCGCAGUGCCUUUGAUACUGAUGGGCUUGAAUCCAUUUGAAGUGGGCGGAAUAAGACAAGUAGCGGUGAAAUGCAUAGAUAUGUCUUAGAACUCCGAUUGCGAAGGCAGCUCACUAAGCUGGUAUUGACGCUGAUGCACGAAAGCGUGGGGAUCGAACA
rnacentral:rRNA from 2 species